AUGUUCAUUAAGUUAAUUACUAAUUUGUUUUCAAAGCUUUCUUACCUAGACAGAGUUGCUUUCAAAGUAAGAGAUGAUCACAGUAGAAAGUUUCCAACACUCUCUUCCUAGACUGCUCAAAGUGUUAAGAAGAGAGUCAAAGAAGAACUCCAAACAGGUGUAUUUGGAAAAGAAAAAGUUGUAAACAUAAUCAAGAAUGUCAAAGAUGAUGAAAAGCAAGCAGAAGAAAGUGAAGAUGAUGUAAACCAAAGAGCUAAAAUUCCUAAAUCUACAAAUAUCAAGAAGAAGUAUGUGGAAAAAGUACCUAUUGUUCUAAAGAAAAUGGUUGAAGCGGUGGUUGAAUUUGGAGAAGUAAUGGCAGAGAUAUGAAGAGUGCAUAAAAGGAGGGGAAUAUUGAAGAAAAUAUCACUUUCGUAUCUAAAAUGUUCAACAACAUUUCAAGCUCACAGGGAGAGGAAGAACUAAUACUGAUAUUGAAAAACAUGAUGAAAAUGAUGAUGACUUUUUCAAUGAUCCAAGUUUCCUUGAUACAGUUGCGGAACUUGAAAAAGCAAUCAGUAAGAUACAGAAACACUUUGUAGCAAAAGGUAAUAAUGCUUAUUCAUUCUCUUUGGGCUUCACUCCUGAAGAAAAAAAUGAAAAUGGUUAACAAGAGAAAGAAACUGAUAUAGCUACAGAAGUUGAUGUUGCUGUAGCUGAACAGGCUCAAUAAGUUUUUCUUGAACUUAAAACACCAGUUGUUGAAGUUAGAGGCAAUCCCGUAAAUAAGCAAAGUGAAAUUUUUUUUUUA